GACGAACCGAGCGAACGUUGUUCGGAAUCACUGGGCUUAAAGGGCGCGUAGGCGGGCUGUCAAGUCUGGGGUGAAAUCCCUCGGCUCAACCGAGGAACUGCGCUCAAAACUACCCGACUCGAGGGAGAUAGAGGAAAGCGGAACUGAUGGUGGAGCGGUGAAAUGCGUUGAUAUCAUCAGGAACACCGAUGGCGAAGGCAGGUCUCUGGGCCACUACUGACGCUGAGAAGCGAAAGCAUGGGGAGCGAACAGG
rnacentral:rRNA from 1 species